AGUAGAAAGAGGAUGAUGCUUCAUUAUUUGUACACUGGUUUGAGUUAGAUCCAAAACCUAGAUCUCUUGAGUUCAGUACAUGUUGGCCUGAACAGGAGGUAAGAGGUGAUCAGGACCUGUCCUACUUACUGGUUUUGUCUAAGUUAGACUUGGAUCCAAAGAGAGAAGAUGCAUUCCCUGCACUCUUCAAGUUUAAAAUCUAAUUUUAAACUACUUUGAAAAUUAGACGUAAUAGGAGUUAAGCCCAAGAGCAGUUUAGGCUUAACUGUGAAUCUCUGUUAAUGUCUAGACUUGGCAUUUUAUCUUGAUCAAUAAGGAACUGUUUACUUGGAAAAUAUUGCAGAGCCUAGUAGAGGCUUAAACUCUGGAGUACCUUAGCAUGUGUUUGUUAGUAUAUUAAAAGUCAUAAAUGCAGUGAAGACUUAAGGAAGGGAAAUUUUAAAAUAGAGUAAGUCCUCUUUAUUUCUUUUUUAAUUUCCAGCUAGUUUAUAGGUGUGACAUUUGCAGAUUUUUUUCUAACAUUUUCAUUUCCUUCUCUAUUGUGAGAUUAAUUUUAAUUACUUUUAUUCUGUAUAGAUGGGGAAAUUGAGACACAGAUCUGAAUCAGGUCACAAAGCAAAGGAUUAGGAGUCGAAAUGAAUUCAGACCUCUUGAUAUUCUAUCCAAUAAUCUUUUACUGGCUUGUACUGCUUGGAGAUACCUGUACUUUCUAUUUUAGUUUAAAGUUUUUCCUUUAACUCUUGUUUUUUCUUAUAAAAAUAAUACAGUCAUUGUAAAAAUAACAGAAAAUACAGAAAAUAAUAAAGAGAAUAAAGAUAUGUUCCUAUAACAUAUGUGUGUAGAAAUAUAUACUAUAUUCCUACUGCCUAGAAAUCACUGCUAAUAUUUCAGGAUAUCUAUUUUCAGAUUUAAUUGUAUACAUACUUAGCUAUCUUUAUAGAUGGUUUUUUUUAAUGAGAUCAAACUAUGCCUAAUUUUGUGAAUUUUCAUUUCAAAUAUAAUUUAAUGUUAAUAUGUCAUAAUUUUAGUUACUUCAUAGAAUUGCAUUGUGUGAAUGUAUUAUUUAAACUCUUAUUGAUAGGUUGUUUCCCAUUUUUUUGCCUUUAGAAAUAAUAUAAUUAUAAAAUUCUUAAUAUAUGCAUCUUUUUAUACUUCCCUGAUAAUUUCUUUAAGAAAAAUUUCCAAGAAUCCAGUUAUUGGGUCAAAAGGUAUGCCUACUGUGACAUUAUGUGUAUUCAAUUUAACCUUCAUCCUAUCUAUUCCUUUAUGUUCUUUGUCACACUGGACUAUGUAAAUGCUUCAUUUCUCUCUUCAUCUCUGCUUUGGCAAGCCACAGAAGAAACCCCACUCUUGAGUGUGAUCGCAAAGAAGUGUACACCAGGGCCUGGGCUUUUUUUUUUUCUUUUAAUUUUUUAUAAAGGUAUUAUUGAUAUACACUCUUAUGAAGGUUUCACAUGAAAAAGCAAUGUGGUUACUACAUUCACCCAUAUUAUCAAGUCCCCACCCAUACCCCAAUGCAGUCACUGUCCAUCAGUGUAGUAAGAUAAGGGGCCUGGACUUUACGUGCUUUUUCUUUUAAUUCUCUGAACAAGUCCUAUGAACUACAUAGUUAAAUGAGGUAUAUCAAAAGUAAGUAUUUUAGGAGUUAGAGCUAAAAAUUAGAUUUCUUCCAGCAGGUAGCUGAGAUCAUGAAAUAUCACAUACUAAAGUAUAAUAAUAACAAGCUACCAUUUAUUGAGCACCUAACUAUGCACCAAUUGCCGUACUAGAUGCUUUUGUAUAUUAUUUAGUCUUCCUACAAAAGCUCCAAAGCCUGUGCGCUUUAUGCAGUUCUCCCCUUACAGCUUUGUUUACAAGUUCGCUUCUUAGUUCCCACCCCUUUGUUAGAUGUCAAAUUCUAGAGAGCAGGGACUUGUUACUAAUCAUUUUGUGAAUUACCAUGAAGGAGAGGUUACAUUGGGUGCCUUUGUAGAAAUGCUUUAUGAUUGUGAUGGUUAUGAAAGUCAUGAAAGACUUUUACAAUUUAUUUUGUUGACUUUUUAAUUUAUAAACAAUCUCCUAUUUGAUAGAAAAUGGCUUUUUUGUGUGCUUUUAAUUUUUCAUUUGCAGAUAUGGAGAAACCUUUAGGCCACCAGAGGGCAUUGCAGUCAGCCUCCUAUUAUUUUCAUUCUAAAUCACUGCUGUCAAGAGAUGCCUAGUGAAAUUUGUUCCCAAUUAAAUUUUAAAAAGAAGCAUUUUUAGACUCAGUGAGCACCUAUGAAUAGGAAGUGUGGCUUGAACUUGGUGGAGCACUACCUUGAGGCACCCUUUUAAUCUGAAAAACCAAAAAGUGGAGUAAGUAGUAUUUUGCUGAAAUUACUCUUCCACUUUUUCCUUUCUUCAAGCAUAUGCCUGAAUUCUUAAUUUGUCCUCCAUAAUUUAUAAUCUUCUCUUAGUCAGAUAAUAAAGCCAGUUACUCUCAAUAUCAAUAGAAAUUGAAGUCACAGAAACAAAGGACACACUUUUUGGCCAGUAGCAUCCACAUCUUCACUGGUCUUUGUUGACACUAAUAAAAACUUGCAAAAUUGACUGAUCCACAGUUAACUACUCUCUGGUUUCUAUUCACCAUCUGGUGGAAGUGCAGAUAGGCAUAAAAAUGAUUAAAAAUCAGAGCAGGAGGGAGAAAAGUAAAAGGCAUUUUGACAACCCAUGAAUUUAAAAAUCAAUUCAAAUCAAGACUAAACAAGUAAGUGAUUGAGAUAUAAACAAGUAAAUCAACAUCACUUGAAAAAAAUGUAACUAUUGGGACUUUAAAUUGUAGCCAACUAGAGCUUUCAUGGAUCUGUGCUCUGGGAGCACUUGAGAUACUAAUUUAUUUUGCAAACAUUUACUGAGUACAUUUGUACCAGGUACUUGCUAAGUACUGGCAUACAGAUAAGAAUAAUAAUCAUUAUAUAUUGCUUUAGUUUUUAAACAAUCUGGCAUCUACUAUCUUAGUACUUACUUCAUACCUCUGAGAUGAAUUAGGGCAGAUGAUAUUUUAAUUUAUAGGUAUGGAGACAGGUUUGGAAUGGUUAAAUUAUUCAUUUAUGGUUACACAGCCAAUAACAGAAUAGGACUUAAACAGAGGUCUUCUGACUCAAAUUCCAUCCUUUCCCACAACGAUGUUAUCUUCCUAGAAGUGAGCCUAUUAUUCUCAAGGGAAGACUUGAGGGGUAUACUAUGCCAAAGGACCUAAAGUUAGAAUUGGAUGUAUUAUAGCCACUGGGUGGUUUUGAUUGUUUAGUUUAAUAAGCAACUUAGCAAAUAAGUUCAAAAGCUUACCAGCACUAUUUCUCUUUUAUCAAAAAUGGAAGGUAGAUUCAGUAUGCAGGCAAUGAAAAUAGAUUGGAUUCUCUAUUUGGUCAACCUAUUACCAGGAAUUCAACUUGUUUCAACUCUGUGAGCCCUCACAUCUUUCUCCAAGGUAUGAUUUAUGCAGUAAUGCCCAUGUUAAAAAAACCAGUCCCCUCAUUUGAGUGUCAAACUUGGGUAAGAAUGUCCCUGACACAAAGGUCUCUGUUGGCUUUUUAUUUCUUUGGUAGUUUUGGAAAGUAAUACCCUGGGUAGAGCACCAUAAAGUCCCUUUGGCAUUAAGUUGUAUUUCUCUUUUUACUUACUUCAUCCCUCAAUAGAUGAAGAGCUGAGAAUCCUCAUCAGCAUUACUAUGCCUGGGCACUAUCAUGAGUACUCUAAAUAUUUGUCCAUGGAGUGUAUAUAUUGAGGGACAUGGAGUAUAGUGUUAAAUUUGGUUUUGUCUAAACCAGAGUACCUAAAGUUACAGUCCUUCUAACACUGUGUAUUUUGAGAAAAAGUAAGACAUGGCUUCCCUAAAACUUAAUACCUUAGUAAUUUCAACACAUUAAAUAGAAAUGGUACAUAUACUCCUAUCUUAGUCUGAUCUGAAUGAAGUGUGGUAUGUAUCCAGGCAGAAGGGAGCUGAGAAAUAAAUGCAUAAGCUUAGGAGACAAAGCAGGAAAAAUGCCAAUGCUAUGCAGUUAAAACAAGAAUACUGGUAUCGUUCUUACCACAUCAUGUUACUCGUUCAUCCGUCACUCCUGUUCCUGAAAGGGCAGGCUUAAUUUUCGUGUCUCCGUUAUCUACCAGUGAGACUUAACAAUGGCACUUAUUAAACAUCGUUGCCUUGUACCAAAAAUAUUUUGCUAAUCAAGAAGUCAACAAAUAAUUUUUGAGCAUCUGCCAAUUGCCAGCCACUUUGCUAAGCAAUAGGUAUACACUGAACAAGACAAUGGAGGGAGACAAACAAUGAGUAUAUAAACCAGUAAGAUGAUUUUUUUUUGAGGCACAGGUAAGUGCUGUACAACAUACUGUAGGGAGCAUAUUCAUCUAACAUACUUUAACAGAUAUUUUAGUUAACAGCAUCCAUGUAAGAGAGGAGGAGAGAAUAUUCAUACAGAGUAUGCAUGUACUGAAAUGAGGAAGGUAAGAGCGUCAGAGCAGGAGAGCAUACAGGCAAGCAAAGAUAGAAAAGGGCUAGAAUGCAAUAUAGUGCCACUGACUAAGGGAUUAAAAUCUAAAGUUAGUUAAACUAGCAUUUUUCUAUUAUUUCUUUUUUUUCCUUCCAAUUUUUUGUUUAUGGGCUUAUCCUUAGUGGUGCUGCUACCUUUUAAAAUAGCUUUAUUGAGAUACAAUUCACACAAACCAUAUAAUUCAUCCAUUUAAACUAUAUAAUUCAGUGGCUUUUAGUGUAUAAACAGAUGUGUGCAACCAUCACCUCAGUCAGUUUUAGAACAGUUUCAUCACCUCAAAAAGAAACUCGUGCUCUUUAGACUCAUUCCCUCAUCUCCCAGUUUCCUAUUUCCUAUCCCUAAGAAACCAUUAAUUUUUGUAUCAGAUUUUCCAAUUCUAGACUUUCAUAUGAAUGGAAUCAAAUAAUAUGUGGACUUUUGUGACAGGCUUCUUUAAAUUGGCAUAAUAUUUUCAAGGUUCAUUGAAUUUAUAGCAAAUAUUCCUUUUUAUGGCUGGAUGAUAUUCCAGUUUUAGAUCUACAACAUUAUGUUUAUCCAUUCAUCAGUUGGUAGACAUUUGGGUUUCCACACUUUGGCUAUUAUUAAUAAUGCUGCUAUGAAAUUUCAUAUACAAGUUUUUGUGUAGACAAGUGUUUUCAUUUUUCUUAGCUACAUACCUAGGAGUGGAAUUGCUUAGUCAUAUGGUAACUAUUUUUAAUCAUUUCAGAACUGCCAUAUUGUUUUCCAAAGCAGCUGUACCAUUAUACAUUCCCACUGACGAUGUUUGAGGGUUCCAAUUUCUUCAUAUCCUUGCUACCACUUACCUGACUUCUUGAUUAUCCUACUGGAUAUACAGUUACAUCUUACAGUGAUUCAAUUUGCAUUUCCCUGAUGACUAAUGUCAAGUUUCUUUAUCUGUGUUUAUUGGCCAUUUGUACAUCUUCUUGGGAGAAAUGUCCAUUCAGAUAUUUUGCUGAUUUCUCUAAGUUGAAUUUUUUCAUCUUCUUAUUGAGUUAUAUAUCCUUUAAAUGUUCUGGACUGCAUUCUACAUUCUUUAUAUAUUCUGGGUUCAUGUCCCUUAACAGAUACAUGAUUUCCAAAUUUUUCUCUCAUUUUCUGGAUUGUGUUUUCAUUUUUUUUAUUAUGUCCUUUGAAGCACUGAAGUUUUUUAUUUUCAUCUAGUCCAAUUUACAUGUAUUUUCUUUUGUUGCUUAUGUUUUUGUGUCAUAUCUAAGAAUCCAUUUCCAAAUCUAAGGUCACAAAGAUUUAAGUCUAUGUUUUCUUCCAAGAGUUUUAUUGUUUUGGCUCUUAUAUUUAGGUCUUCGAUACUUGCCUUACAUUUUUUAUAACUUUUUAGCUAAUUUUUGCAAAUGGUGGGGGUAAGGUUCCAAUCUUAUUUUUUGUCAUGGACAUCAAAUUGUAUUAGCACCAUUUGUUGAAAAGACUAUUCUUUCCCUGUUGAAUGGUCUUGGCACCCUUGUCAAAAAUCAAUUGAGUGUAGACAAACGUGGUUAAUUCUAAUUCUCAGUUCUGUUCCAUUGAUCUUGUAUGUCUAUCCUUUUGCCAUUACCACACUGACUUGAUUCCUAUUGCUUUGUACUACUUUUUUUUUGGUAUCAUUAAUAUACAAUAACAUGAGCAACAUUUUGGUUACUAGAUUCCCCCAUUAUUAAUUCCCUACCACAUACCUGUAUAGAGUCACUACUUGUCUUCUCUAUGCUAUACUGCCUUCUCCUUGCCCUCCCCACAGUAUGUGUGCUAAUUGUAAUGCCCCUUAUUUCCCUUCUCCCUCCCUUCCCACCCAUCCUCCCCAAUCCCUUUCCCUUUGGUAAUUGUUAGUCCAUUCUUGGGUUCUGUGAGUCUGCUGCUGUUUUGUUUCUUCAGUUUUUGCUUUGUUUUUAUGCUCCACAUAUGAGUGAAAUCACUUGGUACUUGUCUUUCUCUGCCUGGCUUAUUUCACUGAGCAUAAUACCCUCUAGGUCCAUCCAUGUUGUUGCAAAUGGUAGGAUUUGUUUUCUUCUUAUGGCUGAAUAAUAUUCCAUUGUGUAUAUAUACCACAUCUUCUUUAUCCAUUCAUCUACUGAUGGACACUUAGGUUGCUUCCAUUUCUUGGCUAUUGUAAAUGCUUUGUAUUACAUUUUGAAAUCAAAAAGUGUGAGUUCCCCAACUUUAUUCUUUUUCAGGAUUGUUUUGGUUAUAUGGGGUCCCCUAAAAAUCCAUUAAACUUUUAUUUUAUUUUUUAAACUUCUUCUACGAAGAAGCCAGCUGGGAUUCUAAUAGAAUUGCACUGAAUCUGUGGAUCAAUAUGGUGAAUAUUGCCAUCUUAACAAUAUUAACCUUUUGUAUCCAUGAACAUGAAAUGUCUUCUCCAUUUAUUUUUAUCUUCUUUAAUAGCUUUUAACAAUGUUUUGUAGUUUGAGUAUAACUUUUGUACUGUUUUUAUUAAAUUUGUUUCUAAGUAUUUUAUUCUUUUUGAUGUUAUUAAAAAUGGAAUUGUUUUCUUAA